UGAGCUCUUGUGCAGAUACAGGGAGCACGAGCUCCAUUAUGGAGGUCCUCUUCGAAUAUUGAUAGAAAAGGAACGUUUAUAUUCCGCUUAGAUCAAGCUGAAGAAGAACACCAGUUCCAGUGAAAUGAGGACGGUGGCCUGACAUCCAUUCAUGGUCGACCUGCUGAAGUGAAAGUGAGUUCUUCACAAGACUACAUCUCCCAAAAGCAUUGGACUGAAAGUUAUUUAUCACCAAAUAAACACAGUUUGAAUUGAA